rnacentral:rRNA from 1 species
AUUGAACGCUGGCGGCAUGCCUAACACAUGCAAGUCGAACGGCAGCAUGGCUGACUGCUUGCAUUUAGCUGAUGGCGAGUGGCGGACGGGUGAGUAACGCGUAGGAAUCUACCCUUAAGUUGGGGACAACCCGGUGAAAUCCCGGCUAAUACCGAAUAAUUGCUGAGGAAAAAAGCUGGGGCCCGUCAGGCCUGGCGCUUGAGGCGGAUCCUGCGUACGAGUAGCUAGUUGGUAGGGUAAAGGCCUACCAAGGCGACGAUCGCUAGCUGGUCUGAGAGGAUGACCAGCCACACUGGGACGGAGAGACGGCCCAGACUCCUACGGGAGGCAGCAGUGGGGAAUAUUGGACAAUGGGGGCAACCCUGAUCCAGCGAUGCCGCGUGUGUGAAGAAGGCCUGAGGGUUGUAAAGCACUUUAGUUGGGGAAGAGAUACGCGAGUUUAAGAGACAUGCGUUGAGACAUGAACCAAAGAAUAAGCACCGGCUAACUCCGUGCCAGCCGCCGCCGUAAUAC